UGAUGUGGAUUAAUUCGAUGCAACGCGAAAACCUUACCUACCCUUGACAUGUCCGGAAUCCCGAAGAGAUUUGGGAGUGCUCGCAAGAGAACCGGAACACAGGUGCUGCAUGGCUGUCGUCAGCUCGUGUCGUGAGAUGUUGGGUUAAGUCCCGCAACGAGCGCAACCCUUGUCAUUAGUUGCCAUCAUUUGGUUGGGCACUCUAAUGAGACUGCCGGUGACAAACCGGAGGAAGGUGGGGAUGACGUCAAGUCCUCAUGGCCCUUAUGGGUAGGGCUUCACACGUCAUACAAUGGUCGGUACAGAGGGUUGCCAACCCGCGAGGGGGAGCUAAUCCCACAAAGCCGAUCGUAGUCCGGAUCGCAGUCUGCAACUCGACUGCGUGAAGUCGGAAUCGCUAGUAAUCGCGGAUCGGCAUGUCGCGGUGAAUACGUUCCCGGGUCUU
rnacentral:rRNA from 1 species